rnacentral:rRNA from 1 species
UACGUAGGGGGCAAGCGUUGUCCGGAUUUAUUGGGCGUAAAGCGCGUGUAGGUGGCCAUGUAGGUCCGCUGUGAAAACUUGAGGCUCAACCUCAAGCUGUCGGUGGAAACCCCAUGGCUAGAGUCCGGAAGAGGGUCGUGGAAUUCCCAGUGUAGAGGUGAAAUUCGUAGAUAUUGGGAAGAACACCGGUGGCGAAGGCGGCGACCUGGUCUGAUACUGACGCUGAGGCGCGAAAGCCAGGGGAGCAAACGGG